UACGUAGGUGGCGAGCGUUGUCCGGAUUUACUGGGCGUAAAGGGAGCGUAGGCGGACUUUUAAGUGAGAUGUGAAAUACUCGGGCUCAACUUGAGUGCUGCAUUUCAAACUGGAAGUCUAGAGUGCAGGAGAGGAGAUUGGAAUUCCUAGUGUAGCGGUGAAAUGCGUAGAGAUUAGGAAGAACACCAGUGGCGAAGGCGAUUCUCUGGACUGUAACUGACGCUGAGGCUCGAAAGCGUGGGGAGCAAACAGG
rnacentral:rRNA from 1 species